rnacentral:tRNA from 1 species
GCCUGAGUGGCUCAAUCGGUUGAGCGUCCGACUUCGACUCAGGUCAUGAUCUCACGGUUCGUGGCUUCGAGCCCCGCGUCAGGCU